CGUCUCCUUUUUCCUAAAUACUACUUCUACCGUACUUCUUUGUAUGGCAUUGAUGAACGAAAAAAAACAAGUACUCCUUUUCCUUCUCUGUCUCGAGGCGCCAGGCCCCAUCUCGAUGGAUGAUUUGAAAGUGGUCUCUCUUUUUUCGCUAAUGGCAUUUAUUUAGUGUUUCUUCUAUCUCGCCCGCCACUUCUUCGUUUACCAUCGCUCCUCACACGCCGACCCAUUGCCAUUAGUUGUUUUCAGUCAAUUUCGGACCCUAUAAGUGGCAAUGACAGCUCGCUUGAGUGAUUAAUUGAUUAGUGUAGCAAUUGGAGAAGAGUCAAAAGACUAUGAUGAAAACUAUUA
ensembl:ncRNA W05E10.15 ncRNA